GGAGAGGGGCUCCACGUCCAGCAAAGAAGUGGGCAGCAUCAGAUGGUGGUGGGUCUCUCCACCUUGAGUGCUCCAGCCACCACCAGGAAUCUCCAUCAUUACUUUCAUAGUGGGCACUGCACUGAGGAGUGGAAGGGAACGGUUGUUGGUUCGUUCAGUAGUGGAGUGCAUAGUCUUCUUUCCUUUUAAAAGAAGAACCCAUGGAUUCUAGGGGGGGGGGGGGGGUUAGGUUCUGAAAUUCUGAAGCUGGAGGAGCGAAAUUCUUGCUGCCAUAUCUGUGAGAGAGUGAAGUUGGGAGCUGCUGAAGUGUAAGGAGGCCUUGGAUUUCAAGUCUUGGAGGAGAUUGAUUCAAGAGGGGUGUUCGGUGCUGCAUCUGGAGGAGCGUAGGGCUUGCUGCAAAUCUGGGAGAGGAGAAGUGGAGAGCUUGUGGAUUUGGAAGGAGAUCAAGACUCUGCAUUUCUAGAUCAAAGGAAGUCUUCAAGAGAUGUUGUCGAGGAUAUUUCUUUGGAGCAAGCGCUGGAAGAUUCUGAG
rnacentral:sRNA from 1 species